rnacentral:rRNA from 1 species
CCUUAGUAACUGCGAGUGAAGAGGGAAAAGCUCAAAUUUAAAAUCUGGCAGUGUUUCACUGUCCGAGUUGUAACCUAGAGAAGUGUAACCUGCGCUGGACCGUGUAUAAGUCUCCUGGAAUGGAGCAUCACAGAGGGUGAGAAUCCCGUCUUUGACAUGGACUACCAGUGCAUUGUGGUUGCGCUCUCAACGAGUCGAGUUGUUUGGGAAUGCAGCUCUAAAUGGGUGGUAAAUUCCAUCUAAAGCUAAAUAUUGGCGAGAGACCGAUAGCGAACAAGUACCGUGAGGGAAAGAUGAAAAGAACUUUGGAAAGAGAGUUAAACAGUAUGUGAAAUUGUUGAAAGGGAAACGUUUGAAGUCAGUCGCGUUGGUUGGGGAUCAGCCUGACAUUGUUGGGUGUACUUCCUGGUCGACGGGCCAACAUCAGUUUUGACUGCCAGAAAAAGAUCAAAGGAAUGUGGCACCUUUGGGUGUGUUAUAGCCCUUGGUCGUAUAUGGUGGUUGGGACUGAGGAAAGCAGCGUGCCAAAAGGCCGGGUUUCGACCACGUUCACGCUGAGGAUGUUGGCAUAAUGGCUUUAAGCGACCCGUCUUGAAACACGGACCAAGGAGUCUAACAUGCAUGCGAGUGUUUGGGUGGAAAACCCUUACGCGUAAUGAAAGUGAAAGUUGAGAUCCCUGUCGCGGGGAGCAUCGACGCCCGGACCAGAACUUUUGGGACGGAUCCGCGGUAGAGCACGUAUGUUGGGACCCGAAAGAUGGUGAACUAUGCCUGAAUAGGGUGAAGCCAGAGGAAACUCUGGUGGAGGCUCGUAGCGAUUCUGACGUGCAAAUCGAUCGUCAAAUUUGGGUAUAGGGGCGAAAGACU